rnacentral:rRNA from 1 species
AAGCUACGCGAAGAACCUUACCAGGUCUUGACAUCCCGCUGCCCGGCGUAGAGAUAUGCCUUUCCCUUCGGGGACAGCGGUGACAGGUGGUGCAUGGUUGUCGUCAGCUCGUGUCGUGAGAUGUUGGGUUAAGUCCCGCAACGAGCGCAACCCUUAACCUUAGUUGCCAGCAUUUAGUUGGGCACUCUAAGGUGACUGCCGGUGAUAAACCGGAGGAAGGUGGGGAUGACGUCAAAUCAUCAUGCCCCUUAUGACCUGGGCUACACACGUGCUACAAUGGACGGUACAGAGGGUUGCCAACCCGCGAGGGGGAGCUAAUCCCAUAAAACCGUUCCCAGUUCGGAUUGCAGGCUGCAACUCGCCUGCAUGAAGCCGGAAUCGCUAGUAAUCGUGGAUCAGCAUGCCACGGUGAAUACGUUCCCGGGUCUUGUACACACCGCCCGUCACACCACGAGAGUUUGUAACACCCGAAGUCGGUGAGGUAACCCUUUUGGGAGCCAGCCGCCGAAGGUGGGA